GGUUGCGAUCAUACCAGCACUAAUGCACCGGAUCCCAUCAGAACUCCGCAGUUAAGCGUGCUUGGGCGAGAGUAGUACUAGGAUGGUGACCCCCUGGGAAGUCCUCGUGUUGCAACCCC
rnacentral:rRNA from 1 species